GCUGGGCAUGGUGGCACAUGCCUGUAAUUCCAGCUACUUGGGAGGCUGAGGCAGGAGAAUCGCUUGAAUCUGGGAGGUGGAGGUUGCAGUGAGCUGAGAUUGAGCCACUGCACUCCAGCCUGGGCAACAGAGUGAGACUCUGUCUCAU
rfam:Nomascus leucogenys chromosome 2, whole genome shotgun sequence.